UUUUUAGUGUAAAUAUGUCCCAUCCAACAUUUGGUACAUACUUACACUAAAA
rnacentral:pre_miRNA from 1 species